UUGCUGUUGAUUUGUAGUUUUAUUCCAUUAUGAUCAUAUAAAAUACAAGGAAUUAUUUCAAUUUUCCUAUAUUUGUUAAAAUUUGUGUUGUUUCCUCGUAUAUGCUAUAUUUUUGAGAAAGUUUUAUGGGCUUCUAAGAACAAUGUAUAUUCUGCAGUGUGUGGAUGAAAUGUUCUGUAGAUGUCUGUUUAAUCCAUUUGAUCCAUGAUGUCAUUUCAUUCACAUAUUUCUCUUCAUUCUGUGUUGGCCGAGCCUGUAAAUUGGUGAGAGUUGGAUACUGAAGUCACCCACUACUGUGGUACUGAAGGUCAUCUGUGGCUUUACAUCUAGUAAUGUAUGUAUUAUGAAAGUAGUUUCACUCAUGUUUGGAACAUACACAUUUGGAAUCAUAAUGUCCUCUUGAUGGAUUGUUCCCUCACUUGGUAUGAGGCAGCCUUACUUUUUCUCACUACUUUGGUUUGCUGUCUAGUCCAUCAAUUAUUAGAACAGAGACAUGUGCUUGGAAUUCCAUCCUUUCACCCUAAGGUAGUGUUUGUCUGCUGUGGUGAGGUGUAUUUCCUAAAGGCAACAAACAGGUCUGUUCCUGACCUUCCAUCCAAUCUAUUAGUCUGUGACUUUUGAUUGGGAAAUCGAGACCAUUAACAUUCAGUUGUUGUUUAAAGACAUGUAUUGAUUCAUACUGUGUUGAUUUUGUAAUGUUUGUUGUUUUCCUCUUCUCAUACUUAUUAUUCUGUGUGGCUUAUCCUUUCUUCAGCUUCAUGGAUAGUUUUAUUGUUCUCUUCAGUCUAGAGGAUUCUUCUAAGUACCUCUGUAAAGCUUAGUGGUCAUGAAUUCCUUUAGCCUAUUUUUAACAUGGAAAGUUUUUUUCCUUCCUUAUGAGUGAUAGCUACUAUAUCUUCUAGUCCUGCUCCUACUAUAGCUUUAGUUUCAUUUGAGAAAUCUUGUGCUGUCCUGGUGAGCCUGUGUUUUUAUGUGACUUGGUCUUCAUUUCUUGCUGCUUUCAAUACGCUCUCUUUGUUCCACAUAGUUAGUGUUCUAAUUAUAAUGUGACAAGGAAACUCUUUUCUGGUCUUGUCUACUUGAUGUCCUAAAUGCCCACAGAUGCUGAGUCUCAUGCAAAUGUUACACUGGCCAAUUAACAACACUGGCCCUUUUCACUUAAAUAAACACACUAGGAUAGUAUGGUGCGUACUCAUUAGUUACUCAGAUUAACUGUGGAUAGUCAGUAGAGUGAAUGGGAUGGCUGAAAAGUAUAGUAGAGAGAACCUAAUGGGUAUGUGUGUGUGUGUGUGUGUGUGUGUGUAGAAACACACUGAACAACCCUAAGGCCUAACUGAGCAAUACACAAACCAAAGCAAAACCAUUGUGUGCGGAGACUGAUAUUGAAAAUACGAAAUCAAGAGAGGACUUAGGAAUUUCUGUGACAGCUGCAUGACUUGGACAGUGAAGUUCUCCGAUCCCCUACUCUAGCAGGCUCCCCCCUGUGUUGUGUGGGAGAGAGAAGAGUGGAGAGCUGCUGGGCUCUGCAGACUCCUUGCUCGUGCAUUCUUGGGGGAGAAGUUGCAAGUCCUUUCCUGGUGGUUCCCCAGACCCCCGUGUCCCACCUUGCCCUUUCCUGAUUCUGCAGGUCCAGGGUAAUGUGAGGAGCAGCACUUCCGCUGAAGUUUCUGCUGCUCCGUGGCAGCUCGGUUCAGCGGACCUGGCCCCAAUUCAAGAGCGCUGGCCUGGUUCCCUGCUGAGCUCUGCCUUGGCCUAAUGAGUUCCUUUGCAGGACUUGUCUCUUGUGUGUUAUCUUGCCUGUUUUCUUUCAGUGUUUCUGCAGUAAAGCUUCUAAUCUGUCAUCCUACCUGGAAGUCUCAAAUACUUGUAUGUGAGUGUAUAGUAUAUGUGUGUACAUGUAUUAUAUGUGUACAUACAAGUACAUACAACUGAGUGCAGGUUUACGAGUACCUUAAAUGCAAGUACAACAAGGUCAGCCUGGGGUGUCAGACCUUGCCUUCUGCAGUACUUGAGAUAGGUUCAGUUCGCCACUACGUAUGUGUGAGCUCCUGGGAAUGCUGUGUGUUGCUGUCUCACCGAAGAGCAUGGGAUUACAGAUAUGCACUACUAUUCCCAGCUUUACAUAGACUCUAGAGACUUGAACUCGUGUCUUCACAUGUGCAUGGUAAGUCCUUUACCCACUAAACCAUCUUCCCAACCCAAAGUUUUUAAUCUCGACCUUCUCCUGUUACAUUCCUGUUUUUCCCUUCCUGUAAGAACAGAGUGGGCAGAUAACUAAGGGUGAACAAGGGGCAACUUUUAUUUGCCACGCAGGAAUGACUGUUGUUCAAAUGGGAAAGCAGAAAGCCAAACAUGAAGGUAGACCCCGAGACCCGCAGCAGCAGCAGCAGCAGGAUGCCUGCGGUUGCCCAUGCUACAUUCUCAAGAUGCCACCAGGAGAGUGCCAGCAUGCAUCACAGCUCUAAAGUCUUAGAGAAUGUCAAGAUAUCAAGUGGGAGCAGUCCCGAGCAAAGCAAUCUGGAAAUAGCAGGUCACCAGGAAGCACAGCACGAAUUCUCCUGUCUCUCUCCAGGCUCAAAGGCUGAAGGAAGUGUUCCUUGCUUACAGCUGAAGCAGCCGCAGCUGGCCUUGACGGCCAGGGCAAGAACCCUGGAUUCUGAAGCAGAAACAGUGUCUUGGAAUAGAAGAAGCGGAAGCUGCACAUACCAGAAGGGAAGAGGGAGAAGAAGAGGCCAGACUUAAAGCUGUCUCCAUCCAAGCAUCAGAAAAUGGAGUAGCCCUAGUGUAUGCCAAGUCGACAAUAAAGACCAACCAGUGCAGAAGAGAUGAGCAGACUGUGAGUGGGAAGAACGUCACACUUGAACCCAACCGUGUAGAUGCCCUGAACUACACUGAUCUGCUGUUGUUGUUGGAACGCUGUGUCUAUCUUCUGGAGCAGUGGGGUCACGAGAGCAGUGUUGAAUGAGCAGACUGCUGUGCCGAUGAAGAGUUCACCUGUGGGAAAUACCUGUUCCUCCAGUGUAAAUUAGUUAGUCAGCCCUCUACAACACUUCAGUCUGAAGUGCUCAGACUGCUAAGCCUCCAGAACCACAAGGAACCACUUUCUGGUCUUUAUAAACUACAGAAGUGUUUGUGACACUUUGCUACAGCAUUCCUAAUAGGCUAAGAUAUAAUCUAAAUAUACUAAAAAGAAAACAGCAUUAAAGAAACUGGAUUUUUAAAAGACAACCCUCUAUGCUGUUUAUAAUAAAUCCACUUUAAAUAUGAUGUGGAUGUUAUCAUUUCUGUCUCUGAAUUGUCCUGAUAUCUGUCUUAUGUAAUAUAAAUAAAGCAAUUGAAUCUUUAA